rnacentral:misc_RNA from 1 species
GUGAAUCAUCAAAUUUUUGAACGCAAAUUGCACUCUCUGGUAUUCCGUAGAGUAUGCCUGUUUGAGGGUCAUUUUAAAUAAAAAUCGGUGUUGUUUCUGCCUUUCUUGGUGACGCACCUGAUUUGGUUCGUCUUUCCUUCGGUUAAGUGACCUAAAAUUUUUGAUGAUUUUUUUCGAUCGUAUUUAAAUUAUUUUACGUUCGUUUGCGAUAUCUAAUACUAGGUUUGGUCAUCCUCAUUAUUCGCGCCUAUAAUUUUUCAUCUAAAUGACCUCAAAUCAUGUAAAC